rnacentral:rRNA from 1 species
CCCUUAGAUGUUCUGGGCCGCACGCGCGCUACACUGACUACUUCAACGAGUUGUUUCCUUGAUCGAAAGGUCUGGGUAAUCUUUGAAAGGUAGUCGUGAUGGGGAUAGAUCCUUGCAAUUUUUGAUCUUCAACGAGGAAUUCCUAGUAAACGCAAGUCAUCAGCUUGCAUUGAUUACGUCCCUGCCCUUUGUACACACCGCCCGUCGCACCUACCGAUUGAAUGGUCCGGUGAAAUCUCGGGACGGCGGCUUGGUCGCUUGCGUCCGACUGCUGAAACUCGAUUAAACCAUAUCAUUUAGAGGAAGGUGAANUCGUANCA